UUUGAUCCUGGCUCAGGACGAACGCUGGCGGCAGGCUUAACACAUGCAAGUCGAGCGAAGACUUCGGUCUUAGCGGCAGACGGGUGAGUAACGCGUGGGAAUCUACCCAUCCCUACGGAAUAGCUCCGGGAAACUGGAAUUAAUACCGUAUACCGCUUCGGGGGAAAGAUUUAUCGGGGAUGGAUGAGCCCGCGUUGGAUUAGCUAGUUGGUGGGGUAAAGGCCUACCAAGGCGACGAUCCAUAGCUGGUCUGAGAGGAUGAUCAGCCACAUUGGGACUGAGACACGGCCCAAACUCCUACGGGAGGCAGCAGUGGGGAAUAUUGGACAAUGGGCGCAAGCCUGAUCCAGCCAUGCCGCGUGAGUGAUGAAGGCCCUAGGGUUGUAAAGCUCUUUCAACGGUGAAGAUAAUGACGGUAACCGUAGAAGAAGCCCCGGCUAACUUCGUGCCAGCAGCCGCGGUAAUACGAAGGGGGCUAGCGUUGUUCGGAAUUACUGGGCGUAAAGCGCACGUAGGCGGAUCGGUUAGUUGGGGGUGAAAUCCCAGGGCUCAACCCUGGAACUGCCUCCAAUACCUGCCGGUC
rnacentral:rRNA from 1 species